rnacentral:rRNA from 1 species
GACGAACGCUGGCGGCAAGCUUUACACAUGCAAGUCGAACGCCGUAGCAAUACGGAGUGGCAGACGGGUGAGUAACACGUGGGAACGUGCCUUUCGGUUCGGAACAACUGAGGGAAACUUCAGCUAAAACCGGAUACGCCCUUCGGGGGAAAGGUUACGCCGAAAGAUCGGCCCGCGUCAGAUUAGGUAGUUGGCGGGGUAAUGGCCCACCAAGCCGAUGAUCUGUAGCUGUUCUGAGAGGAAGAUCAGCCACACUGGGACUGAGACACGGCCCAGACUCCUACGGGAGGCAGCAGUGGGGAAUAUUGGACAAUGGGCGCAAGCCUGAUCCAGCUAUGCCGCGUGGAUGAAGAAGGCCUUCGGGUUGUAAAGUCCUUUCGGCGGGGAAGAUAAUGACGGUACCCGCAGAAGAAGCCCCGGCUAAUUUCGUGCCAGCCGCCGCCGUAAGAC